UACGUAGGGUGCGAGCGUUGUCCGGAAUUAUUGGGCGUAAAGAGCUCGUAGGCGGCUUGUCGCGUCGGAUGUGAAAGCCCGGGGCUUAACUCCGGGUCUGCAUUCGAUACGGGCAGGCUAGAGUGUGGUAGGGGAGACUGGAAUUCCUGGUGUAGCGGUGAAAUGCGCAGAUAUCAGGAGGAACACCGGUGGCGAAGGCGGGUCUCUGGGCCGAUACUGACGCUGAGGAGCGAAAGCGUGGGGAGCGAACAGG
rnacentral:rRNA from 1 species